rnacentral:piRNA from 1 species
UGCUUCCUGGGAUUCGGGCUGAUUGGU